CCUACGGGAGGCAGCAGUGGGGAAUAUUGCACAAUGGGCGCAAGCCUGAUGCAGCGACGCCGCGUGAGGGAUGACGGCCUUCGGGUUGUAAACCUCUUUCAGUAGGGAAGAAGCGAAAGUGACGGUACCUGCAGAAGAAGCGCCGGCUAACUACGUGCCAGCAGCCGCGGUAAUACGUAGGGCGCAAGCGUUAUCCGGAAUUAUUGGGCGUAAAGAGCUCGUAGGCGGUUUGUCGCGUCUGCCGUGAAAGUCCGGGGCUCAACUCCGGAUCUGCGGUGGGUACGGGCAGACUAGAGUGAUGUAGGGGAGACUGGAAUUCCUGGUGUAGCGGUGAAAUGCGCAGAUAUCAGGAGGAACACCGAUGGCGAAGGCAGGUCUCUGGGCAUUAACUGACGCUGAGGAGCGAAAGCAUGGGGAGCGAACAGGAUUAGAUACCCUGGUAGUCCAUGCCGUAAACGUUGGGCACUAGGUGUGGGGGACAUUCCACGUUUUCCGCGCCGUAGCUAACGCAUUAAGUGCCCCGCCUGGGGAGUACGGCCGCAAGGCUAAAACUCAAAGGAAUUGACGGCUGNGAGNGCGAGCGACACGAGGGAGAG
rnacentral:rRNA from 1 species